rnacentral:rRNA from 1 species
AGGACGAACGCUGGCGGCGUGCUUAACACAUGCAAGUCGAGCGGAAAGGCCCUUCGGGGUACUCGAGCGGCGAACGGGUGAGUAACACGUGAGUAAUCUGCCCCUAGCUCUGGGAUAGCUCCGGGAAACCGGGAUUAAUACCAGAUACGACCACUUUAGACAUCUGUUGUGGUGGAAAGAAUUUUGGCUAGGGAUGAGCUCGCGGCCUAUCAGCUUGUUGGUGAGGUAACGGCUCACCAAGGCGACGACGGGUAGCCGGCCUGAGAGGGCGACCGGCCACGACUGGGACUGAGACACGGCCCAGACUCCUACGGGAGGCAGCAGUGGGGAAUAUUGCGCAAUGGGCGAAAGCCUGACGCAGCGACGCCGCGUGGGGGAUGAAGGCCUUCGGGUUGUAAACCCUUUCAGCAGGACGAAGCGAAAGUGACGGUACCUGCAGAAGAAGCGCCGGCUAACUACGUGCCAGCAGCCGC